ensembl:lncRNA
CGGGCCCUCAGGCAACCGUCGGCUCCGCGCGCCUGGCUGGGCGUGGCUGGGGAAAGGGCCGAGGGCGGCCGGGAGGGGCAACGGGGACUGCUCGCGCCGCGGCCCUGGGCCCGGCCGGGCCUUCCCACCACCCCGCGGGGACCCCCUGGCGGGGCAGGGCCAGCGGAUGGCGGGAAGAGGCCCAGAGGUUUCCGGGGCGGGUCUGUGCCACCACCCACACCAGGCAGUUCAGGGAAAUUCAAAAGUAAACGUUUCUAAUAGCCACACACAGAACUCGCAGAGGCUGGGAUGACCGCGGGCGUUGUGACCUUAUCCCCGCCCCGCGAAGGUUCGGAAAACUGCCUGGAGGCCGCACCGCGGUGGAGUUACGUAACGGGCGCUGGUGACAAGCGUGCGGGUUCCAAGUGCAAACCUGUGCUUUUCUCUCUCAGUGGAAAGCGUAUCAGAACACCUUCCCAUCAAAUUGACACACGUGCGUCUUGAAGACAAGAUAAAAACCGAAGAAAAAUCGGUGUUGACGGGCGGUCCCUGUUCCGUUUUAUUUAACAACUUAGGGCCUUAUAAAAUCAAAACCUCACAUGUGAUAUGAUUAACAGGUUACUAAGUAUUUAACACAAGCUGUUCAUGCUCGUGCUUCAGUAAAAUCCAAUGCAUCGAAAACUAAACUUGUGAAAAUUCUUUCAGGUCAGUCUAGAAAAGUGAGGACGCUGUUUCCAGACCCCGCAGCUGAGUUCAGGAAAGCAGAGGAAAAAGGAAGACACAGUAUCUGCAGAGUUGAAAGGGGAGAAUAGAAGAAUGAAGCUUCAACCAGUGAAUAUCAUUGUGGCCAGUGUAAAAGAAAUUAAGAAACGAUCAAGCCACAGUCCCCGCCCCACAGAAACUGCCAGUGUCCAAGGGCAGAGGUCAAUGUCAGUACUUCUGAUAUAUGCUCUGCUGAAUCUUCUGACAGUUGUCCACAAGCCAGCCUCUCUCCAAACACAAGAUGCUGUGGUAUUGAGUUUGAACUUCAUAGCCGGUUUUAUCAUUUUACAGAUUAUCUUUCAGACAUCCAGGC